rnacentral:lncRNA from 1 species
AACAAAUUAGUAAUAUACCAAAAAAAGGGAGGGAAAAAAAAACAACCAUGGUUUUAAAAUUUGAGAAAAGCUUUAUCAUUCCCAUGUUUGUGAUCAUCAUUUUGGUGAUCACUUGUGCAUCACAAGUGGUGUCCGGCCGGUCGAUGCAUGAACCGUCCAUUGUUGCGAAACACGAACAAUGGAUGGCUCAGCAUGGACGCACUUACAAGGACGAGCUAGAGAAGGCAAUGCGUCUUAAUAUAUUCAAGCAAAACCUUGAAUACAUUGGGAAAGCCAACAAGGAGGGGAAUCGGACGUACAAGUUGGGUACCAAUGAAUUUUCAGACUUAACUAACGAGGAGUUUCGUGCUUCAUAUACAGGAUACAACACGCCAGUACCAAGCCUAAGCCGCCAGUCAUCACUGCCAUCCAACUUCAAGUAUCAAAACGUGACUGAUGUUCCGACUAGCAUCGACUGGAGGGAGAAAGGAGCUGUCACUCAUAUAAAGGACCAAGGCCAAACUGGUAAUUAAUUAUAUAUAUAUAUAUAUAUAUAUAUUGAUGAAGUGAUGCUGCAGAUUGUUUGUAGCUGUCACAUCAUGUACAACAAAUUAUUAUAUAAUAUUAUUAUUCGUCGUCUAACGUAACAUGCAAUAUUAUUUUGCAGGAUCCUCUUGGGCAUUUUCAGCUGUGGCGGCGGUGGAAGGGAUCACUCAGAUUACUAGUCGAAAACUGAUUGAACUUUCGGGGCAGCAGUUGGUAGACUGCUCAACAGACAACCAUGGAUGCAGUGGGGGUCUUAUGGAUAAAGCCUUUGAGUAUAUUAUAGAAAACAAGGGCCUUGCCUCAGAAGCGGACUAUCCGUACCGGCGAGAACAAGGAACCUGUGACAAACAGAAGGAGAAAGCUGUUGCCGCUACAAUCAGUAAAUAUGAAGAUUUACCGCAAGGUGACGAGCAAGCCUUACUCCAGGCCGUAAGCAAGCAGCCAGUAUCAGUUUGUGUUGAAGCGAGCGGACGAGCCUUCCAUUUUUACAAAAGCGGCGUGCUUAAUGCAGACUGUGGGAAUAACUGUGAUCAUGGUGUCGCUGUUGUUGGGUUUGGAACUGCUGAAGAAGAAAAUGGAGCCAAAUACUGGUUAAUUAAGAAUUCGUGGGGGGAGACUUGGGGUGAGUCCGGCUACAUAAGGAUUCUCAGAGAUGAAGGUCUCUGUGGCAUUGCCACUGCGGCUUCCUAUCCAGUUGCAUGACUACUAUAUUUUAUUAGCCUCCUCUUCAUCAUAGCAGUAUCAAUUAGGUUGUGCUAUCCUACAUAUGGAAAUAAUUUAAUCUUGUUGGAAUCUUAAUUAGUUUUGGAGUAUUGAUGAUAUCUUCAUCAACUUCAAACCCACGGAUGUAUUGGCUAGCCACUGAAAGCUGAUAUUUAUCUAUUGUGUGGUUAAUUUUCUAUAUUUCUUAAUGUUUGUAAUGGAAUUAAUGCCAGUAUACUUGGUGUCUUCUAUAAUUAACGUUAAAUCUCUUGUUUAAAUAUAAUUUUGAUCUUCGCCGCAAUUACUUUAUUACAAUUUAAGCAAUAAAUUAAUUAUAUUACUUAUUUAUCAAAUUCCUAUUGGUAAAUUUAAAGGUUUUUUUUUUAAACAAAAGUUUUUUUGGAGAAAAUUGAGGAAAAUACGGGCUCCAGUUGUUAAUUUGGAGAAAUUAAUUGGAACCCGCUCAUGUUUUAAAACACAUUCACGCUCCUCACAACAGAUAUUGACCGUGAAACUUAAGUACUGUUUUGAGAAUAUAAAUGAAGUGAAAUAACAUAUAUGCAUAUCCUCGAUGAGCAACAACUUCAUUUUCUUCUGAGCAUUUAUUCUUCUCAUAUGCAUCACUCUCAAUUUAGUGAAUGAUAUAAUGAUGGAAAUGAGUUUCGCUACAAGAUCAAAAUAGAAAUUUUGUAGUAUAAAAAUGGCUCAAAUUAAGUUAAAUUUCAUGGUAACCAUAAAAGAUUUUAGUUAUUAGAACCGAAGAGAAAAUUUAUAGUUACGCAUACCACUCGAAUUAGGUUGAUGUAUAUUUUGCAACUCAAUCAAUAAAAGCUUGUGACAUUAGAGUAGAUUUUUUACAUCAGUUUUGAUAAUGUUUAUACAAGUACCGUUAAUAAAUAUUUCUUCUCUUUGCGGAGGUUCACUUAAAAAAAAAAAAGAGAGGUUUUAUAUUACUAUAUGUUUAUGCCAUUGUCAAUGUUUAUUUUAUUUUAUUAUUUAUGACUGUAAAUCUCACACACAUAAAAUUAACAUACAAAUUAUUUUAUUUGAUUCAUAUUCCAAAGUUUUAUAACCACUAAAGGUAAAUUUUGUGAAUCCUAUAUCUAUUAGAUAAGAAAUUCUAGAAUUUCUCCUAUUAGAUUAUUUGACACCGCUGAUCCCACUAUGAGACCUAUUGCUCAAUCAUUCUGGCAUACAAACUGAACACACUGAAGUAGUAUUAUGGGCUCAAAAAAAAAAAAAAAAAAUUUGCGUGUGUGUGUGUGUGUGUAUGUAGACACACAUACAGACAUACUAUUAUGUAUCGUUGAUGUAGAUAUAUAUACAUAUAAAUAUAUUCUCUGUGUAUGUGCAUACUAUUGUGUGACACCAGUAAUCUCACUAUAAGACUCACUGCUAUAUUUUUUUGAUAGAAUAUGUAAAUUGGGCAUGCCAACUCAACACGCCAAAGUGGUAUGACUGGCAUAAAAAAUAGAUUUUCUGUGUAUAUGCAUACCUAUGCACACAAAUACGUAUAUAUACAUACAUACUAUCACGUAUCAUUGAAGUAUCCAUAUAAAUAGAUUUUCGGCUUGAACAAGGGCUAUGUUAGAGAGAGAGAGAGGGAAAAAAAAAACCUAUUUUUUAAGGUACUUCACGAAAAUAAACAAAAUAUUAAUAUUUCUUAAUUUUGAUGUAAAUUUGUGAUUUGAAGUUAUAUCUCUUGUACCACUUUAAGCAAAUUUACAAUUAAACCAACUACCAUCCACAAUCCAUUCUAAACUAUAACCAUGCAUGAUUCUUAAGAGAAUGUUUAUUCAUUAAAAUUUUUAAUACUAAUAACUUUUUUUCCUUCAAAAUUUCAGAUACUACUUUGAAGUCCAUAAUUAUUUCUUUCUAUCUUUUUCCUAAACUUUUCAUUUAUUGGCUUAUUGCAAUCUUUAUCAUUUAGUUGGUUAUGGUUAUCUUCUUUGAAGUCAUUAGUUUUCUAAAAUCGGUAUAAAAUUAUUGAUAAAAUAGAAAGAAAAUGAAAGCCAUUUCCAUCCAGCUAGGCGUGCAAUAAGAAAAAUGUUAACCUUAUUAUGUGGCUCCAAUUGAGUUGAGCAAAGUCCAAAUGGUCUUCAUGCACUGAAGACACAUGGCUGUAAUCAAAGAAUUUUAGAGGGACAAAUGGAUUUCAUGCACUCAUUUUAGUUGCUGUAGAUUCUCAACCUUAACUAACCACCCCCACAGAAUCAUCAUCUUUGUCUAUUAACACAAUUUUUAAUUUAGGGAAAAUGACUAACACCUCCAACCUGUAGAUAAAGGGACAAAAACCCCUUUAGGGUUUCGAAAAAGACAUUUAUACCCCUAUUCACUGACAGAGACAGUUACUUUUAAUGGAAAUAGUAAUUUUAAUAUAUAAUUACCGUUAUACCCUCCUAGCACAUAAAACAAUAAUUGUUAAUUGUCUAAUUUGUCCAUAUAUUGCUAUUAAAAUUAUGAAUAUACCCUCAUUGUCCAAUUCCUCUAUUUAAGUUUUUAUGAAAUUCUCUCUUCAAGCCAAAUAAAUUUAAUCCAUUAUCAAUUUUUAUGUCUAUUGGAUAUGUUAUUUAAUACAAUUAAGGUAAGAUUUUUGUAAUUAUUGUUGUAACCAGCCUUUUUUUUCUAAUUUUUUGAUUAUACAAGUUUAAAUGAUUGACAUGUAGAGAAUUGUUAUUCUUAUGGCAUUAAUAACUAAUUUUAUUUAUUUAUAUUCUUGAGUAAUGGAUUAAAUUUAUUUGGCUUGAAGAGAGAAUUUGAUAAAAAAUUAAAUAGAGGAAUUGAGCAAUGAGGGUAUAUUUAUAAUUUUAACAAUUAUUUUUUUUAUGUGCUAGAAGGGUAUAAUGGUAAUUAUAUAUUAAAAUUACUAUUUCUGUUAAAAGUAAUUGUUUCCGUUAGUGAAUAGGGGUGUAAGUGUCUUUUUCGAAACGUUAUGAGGUUUUUGUCCCUUUGUCUAAAGGUUGGGGGUGUGUUAGUCAUUUUUCCUUUCAUUUAAUUAACUUUUAGUUAGAAAUAAAAAAAGGGCCCCAUUAUUUUGCAUUUGCAUGCAAUACCCAUCCAAGAAAUUAUCUAGCUUUCCAAUAAAUUUUAGUGUGUGUGUGUAUAUAUAUAUAUAAAAGACAAAAGAUGGACAAGACUUUACUCCUAAAUAGAGAAAAUUUCCACAUUCCAUUUUCACCUGUAGUUACAACCAUUACAGUCUUAUUUAUAUUAUAAAUUCAAUUUUGUUAGAGAAUUUACAAUUAAUCUAAAGACUGCUAUAAUAUUUUCAUCACAUACUAAGCCUUUAGUACCCAUAACUUAUAUUUAAAUUUAAAUGUUAUUAUUAUAUAGUAGUUGAGUAUAUAAGUAAUAAAAUCUUGAUGGGUUAUAACCGAAUAUAAAUAAUAUAUAUAAAUUGCGGAAAUGAAGAGAGAGAGAGAGAUAUGGCCUCAAAUUUCAUUGUUUCUGUACAUAUCUAUUAAAAGAAAAUCUACUUGAUUUCCACAUCUUUUUUUUUUUUUCGGUACAAUAAGUAGCCCAAAACAAGGCUAAGCAAUCACUCGGCGAGGGAUCGAGAUCCCCAAUCCAUCAUACAAAAGCCAAGUAGAAAUCUCAGGAGGGGGGGACACAAAUAUGUGAACUCCCAGAGGAAGCUUGAGGGCAUGAGAAGCCAUAAAAUCUGCUGCAUUAUUUGAUUCUCUAUAAACAUGGUGCAAAGCUACUCGCCAAUUAUGAUCCAUCAGCCUCUUUAUAUCACGAAUCAGAGGAUAACAAGCAUUAACAGUAUUACAACCCUUGGCAAUCAUUUGAAUUGCACACUCACUAUCAGCUUCUAUGAGAAUGUUACGAAUGCCAACCUCCCAAGCCAGCAACCGUCCCUGAAAAAUUCCCCAUAACUCAGCCAUUGUCACCGAGCAUACACCAAUAUUAAUGCUGAAUCCUGUCACCCACUCCCUUUUGCUAUUUCGAAUUAUACCGCCAGCCCCUGCAGUACCUGAGCUCCUUCUGGACCCAUCGGUAUUAUUUCUAUUAUAAUUUUUUUUUAAGAAUUUAAAAUUAAUCUAAAGAAUGCUAUAAUAUUUUCAUUACAUACUAAGCCUUUGGUACCCAUAACUUCUAUGUAAAUUUAAUUUUUUUGUUAUGUUGAGUAUAUAAGUAAUAAAAUAUGGGUGGGUUAUAACCUAAUAUAAAUAAUAUAUAUAAAUUGCGGAAAUGAAAAGAGAGAGGGGGAGAGAGAAGGCCCCAAAUUUCAUUGUUUUUGUAUAUAUAUCUAUCAAAAGAAAAUCUACUUGAUUUCCACAUCUUUAAGCAUACAUAAAGCUGGAUUUAGUUGUAGGUCGAUUAGAAUUUACAAACCUUGUCCUUGGUCAAGAUAAAUAAAUAAUAUUAAUGUUAUUUUUGAAUUUUUAACGAAUAUAUAGUAAGUCUUUAAUGUCACGAAUGUGUAAAAACACAUUAAACCCUAAUAUUAAUUGUUUUUCUAAACCUCAGUAAAAAUUUAAUGAGGUUUGUUUAUCCUCUAUUUUCUCUUUCAGGGAGUCCCAAGUUGCAAGAGUGUAGUGAUAAUUUGGAUUGAUUCAAAUUUAUGACUAUGACCAUGACGUAACUGUAAAAUUUCCAGAUUUAACAAAAGGUUUCAGCAAAAAAUUAAUUAGAAUUUAAUGGUGUCAUUUAUUUAAAAAAAAUAAGGAAAAAAAUAUUAAUAAUUCAGUUACAAAAAGUCGCUUUGAUUCAAAAUUAUGGACACAUGCUUCCUCCGCAGUCUUGGCUUGAAACCAGCUUCCCAAGUUUCAGACCUCCUCGCACUAUAAAAAACGACAAAAAAUGGGGUCCAGCUAUGGUGCCACAGUUGUAUGGUACCACAGCUGGAUCCAACCAUUGAAUUUAGCUCUAGUGACAACUGUAGGCUAGAUUCAAUGGUUGGAUCUAACUAUGGUACCAUACAACUGUAGUACCAUAGGUUUAUCCCAAAAAAUGUGGUUGGAAACUUGGUCCUGAAGUUACUUAAUCACCCUUUAUUUUACAGUAAUUUUUUUUUAUAAGCAGAAAAUAUAAAAUUUUAGCUUAAAUUGGCAUGAUGAAAGAGCUCAAGCUCUCAAGAAUCCUUAAAAAAUUAUUAUUAAUUAAAUUUCACUAGAUUUUUUUCGAAGAAUUUGUUUGAUUUUUCAUUACUAAUGUUAUGUGACUGAGCUGAAGUUGGGCAAUUUUCAUUAUUACAUUGACUCUCAAUUAUGGUUAAGAAAAUAGCAUUUACCAAUAAUUAAUAAAAAAUGAGACCCUGAAAUUUUGUUCGCACACAAAGCAUACAAACAAUUGAAGAAGGGUGAUAAAGUAAUAACACAAUAAACGCUAAUAAAUCAUUAAAAUUAAGGCAACGUUGUUGUAGCCUUAAUUCUCUUUGCUUUGUCCCACUAAUAGUGCCCCUUCAGUCGUAUCUGGACUGUAUGAUCUUCUUCAAAGCAUCCGGUGCCCACCAAACGGUCCUGAUUUAUAUAUUAAUUUGCACAUAAAAUCCAAAUAAUCAUUAAAUUACGACUUAUAAGGUAACAAAGAGGGAUUCAUGUAUUCCAUGCGAUUUUAAUUUCAGUUCACAACUUCCUAAAACACAAUGCAUUUUAACGACCUAAAAUUAACUUGACAAUUUUGCCCUUGGCAAAUACAAACCCUGUGGCUUACGUAGGGAGAUUAACAGUCACAAUUAACUAGAAAUACUAACCAGUGGCUUGGCAAGUCAUCGAAGGGCUAAAUUGCUGACAAGCAUACACUCAUUUUUAGCUCAUUUUCCUAUUAAAGAGCCCACAUAAAUUUAGCCCCAUCUCUCUAUUUAACAUUUAACGACCCUUCCUUUCUUGAGAGCUUAAUUUUUAUUCUUUUUUAUUUUUCUUUACUUUUUUCUCUUUACUCUCUCUACUGCAUGGAACUUGAUUCAAGUUUCCGAGAUGAUUAUCCUCUCAUAUCAAGCCUAUUUUCUGAUAAUCUCUUCAAAUCAGACCUAGGUAAUGGGUUCUCUUCUCUAGAAAAUCCAUCUUCUAAAGGUAUAUUGUUUCACAACUAUCAUAAUAACCAUGAUUAUGGUCUUAUUAGUGAGUCCACUUUUUCAAAUCCUCACCAUCUUAAUCGAUUUACCAUCGAAGGAUCUCAAAAAGUCCCCCUCUCGGGAUCUCAACAAUGAGUUUCGAUUCUCUUGAGGGCUAUUCAAAUGGGUUUUUUGGUACUGAGGGUGCAUAUACUGCCACUCCGUUGGUACUGAAUAGUACAAACGAGGUUUUGCAUGGUCCAGAAAGAAGAGGAUUUUGGGAUUAUUCACAGAAUUUUUCAGCUCACCCCAAGCCGGAAACUCCAAAUUUUCAGCCGAUGCUAAUGAAUUUUCAAGAUUAUGGAUCAUCGAGUGCAAAAUUGUCCGAUGAAGUCUCAUGUGUAAUUGGAGAAAAUGCAUAUAAUCAAGAUCAAAAGAGGAACAAAAGGAUACCUAUGAAAAGAGAAAGGAAACUUCCAAAGAAGAACAAUAUAAUCAAAGGGCAGUGGACUCCUCAAGAGGAUAUGCAAGAGAAGAACUAAAUUAAAUUUCAUUUUGGUCUUUUUUCACAAAUUAAUCCAAAAAUUUUAUUUAUACUUUCUUCCAUUUUUUUCUCCUUAGGGUUUUUUUUGGGUACGUUUAUUGGAGUUAUUAAGAAUUGGUAUCAUAAAUCUCUCUUUGCAGAAUGUUGAUCCGGCUAGUUUAGGGGGAAAAAAUUGAUAGUUUUUGUAAUUUUCAAGUACUUGCCAUUGCAACGUCAAUUUUUAGAUAGAGGAGGAAAAAUUGAUCCUACAAGGAGAGUAAAUCUAUGACUAAAAAAAUGAGAUGAAAUUUAAGAGUAAAUACGAUAAGCAGCAUUCUAACUUGGUAGUUGCAAUUUUUUUGAAGAUUUUGCAAGACACAGUUAGCUUAUGAUUUAUGAAGCAAAUCUAUAAUGAGAGUGAUUGCCUCAUGGUUUAUUGAAGAAAAAUUUAUAAGGAGAGCUAAUUCGAUCUUGUUUAUUGUUGGCGGCAAUUGAUAUCUGACAAUUGUUGAUUAUAGCUAACAGCCAAGGUUGGAAGUCCGAAUAUCAAAGGUCUACAAUUACAGUCAAGGUUGAUCCUGCAAAAUUUUACAUAGAUAGCUCUAUUUAAAAUUUAUUAAAAUAUAAUAGCUAUAGAGAUGACUAAGGUCAUGUUUAGUAUUGAGGUAGUAUAGCUAUUGUAGCAAAAAAUUAUGACUUUGAAAUAAAGCUUAAUAGUAUGUAAUAAAUAAGAUUUUUAAAUGAUAACUUUGAUAAAAAUAAUAAAGAUGUUAUAUUUUUUUUAUCAGAUACGACUAGUAUUAUAAGUAAUGGAUUAAAUAACCUCAACCAGUUAUAUUAGCUAAUAUUUACCAAACAUUUUAGUGCUGUGGCAUUUAAAUUAAAACUGCUUAAUCUCAAUACUAAGCAUGGUCUAAUUUAAUUGUAUUGGGGACUAAUCCCUGGCAAGUUUUAUAUAGAUCCCUUUAUUCUUAGUUUUUCAAAAAUACAAUCAUAUAAAUUACCAAUUUCUUCCUUCUAAUUAUAUAUAUAUAUAUGUAUGUAUGUAUGUGUAUAUGUAUACGUAUAUAGGCACACACACAUGCCCGAACAACUUGUGGAGCUUGUGAUUUUAGGACCGACUUUACAAACAACUGCUUCAAAAAUUAUGCCGCGAAUAUCAAGAGAUCAACUACUUUCUAGAAUUAAUUUUGAGGCACUUUUGUAAUUCCUUUUUAUUUAUGUAAUUUUAGAGGAAGUAUUGAUAUUUGGUCUCAAUAGUGACAUAUAGAGACAUAUGGAUUGAACUGCUACAUUAUUGUUCUAGUCAUUAACAAUUGUUCAAUUAGACCUUCCAAGGUGAUGGGAUAUGAUGAGUUGUCUUUUAACUAUCACAAAACUUAAUGUUCUUAGUUCUUAUGAAAAUCAUAGAAUACUUGACAGAAAAGAAUAAUAUAUUUUUUUAAUCUUAUUUUACAUAGAUUUUACUGUUUGACCGAGUCUUGGAUAAAUUUUAAAUACAUUAUAUCAUCUACAAUAAAUUUUCUAUAAAAUAAUAUUGUUGGGAUUAAGGAAAAAUACCAAUUUAGUGAAGUUAUUAAUUUACCAAUAAAUGAAUAUUUAUUAAUUUAGAGAGAGAUUUUUUGUUUUAAGAAUUUUAUUGAUAUAUGUACAUAUUUAUCUGUAAAAGAACAUAAAUCGUGGUUGCUUAAGUCAAUGAUAUCUUCUCAAAUGGCUACUACUUAUAAUAGUGUAGCUUUGUUAAGCAACUUGUAAUUAUACAAUAUUUCUUUUUUGCUUUUCCUUAGUUUGUGUAAUCAUUAGGGGUGGGCAAAUCGGGUUUCGGUUCGGGUUGUUCGGGUUUCGGUUUGGGUUUCAACCCGUUCGGGUUGGAGAAUUGAACCCAAUCGGGUUGAAAACGCCAACCCGAACCGAACCGAACCGAAUUUAAUUCGGUUCGGUUCGGUUUGGGUUGGCAAUUCGGAUCGGAUUGAGUUGAUAAUUCGGGUUAAAAUUUCGGUUCGGGUUAAUUCGGGUUAGUUCGGGUUAGAAUAAUUCGGGUUAGUUCGAUUUAGAAUGGGUUGGAACAAUUUAAUCUAAAAAUUCUAACAACAACCACUUAAAAUCUAAAAAUUUCAAUUCCAAACAUCAUUAACAACAAAUAUCAAUUACAAAUCAUCUUUAAUAACAUUUCAACAAUUUAAAAAUCUCAAUUCCAAACAUUCCAAACAUCCUUAAGGAACAAUUUAAUUCAAAAAUUAUAACAAUCACUUAAAAUCCAAAAAUCUCAAUUCCAAACAUCCUUAAUAACAAAUAUCAACUACAAAUCAUCUUUAAUAACAUUUCAAUAAUUUAAAACUCUCAAUUCCAAAUAUUCCAAACAUCCUUAAGGAACAAUUUAAUUCAAAAAUUAUAACAACCACUUAAAAUCCAAAAAUCUCAAUUCCAAACAUCCUUAAUAGCAAAUAUCAACUACAAAUCAUCCUUAAUAAUAUUUCAACAAUUUAAAACUCUCAAUUCCAAAUAUAUUUUUAAUUUAAAAGCUGAAUCUUAAAAAAAAAAAAAAAAAGCUUCAACCCGAACGGGUUGAAGCUUUGAAUCCGUUCGGGUUUCACCGGUUAACCCAAACCGAACACCCACCCCUAGUAAUCAUACAUAUACAACUAUUGUGUAAGUAUUUACUUUUGAAAAAUAUGAAUACAAAAGUAUUCUCAAGUUUCACUUGAUUAUUUUAUAAUUUCUAGUCUCAUAUCAUAAUAAUUUUCAUAUUUUUCUGCUUCAUGGGUUCUCAUUUCAAAGAAGUAAAAAGAAAAAAAAAUCUUUAUUGAUAGAAAAAGAUAUACUAAAUGUAGUGCAUGCUCUACAAAAUAAUUAAUGACGAGCUGCGCUCAGUUAGGAACAAAGAGAAGCCAAAAAAGAAAAAAAAACUUUAGAUGCAUAUUUUUCAAAGAGUUGAAUUCAAAUAAUAGUAAUUGUAAAAAAAAAAAGUUCCUUAAUUUUAUGAGUUAUAUAAUUUAUUCAUUAUUAAUUUUUGUAUGAGAUUAAUUAUUAGUUUAUAUUUUCAUAGUUAUUAGUUUAUAUUUUCAUAGGGUCCUAAAGCAUUCAAAAAGUCAAUAUUGUCUUACGCAUUUAACAAAGCUAUUUAUUUGUUACACUGGCUCAAUUUGGAACUUGAAGACUUAAUUAUUUAAUCAACAUUAUUAACUUAUCGGAUAGUUAUUUAUCAAUAUUUUAUUUGUGUUGUUACGUUAAUAAAAAAAGAAAUUAUAAAAAAGAAAAAUAAACUAAUUUAAUGAUAUUCGCUGAUGCGCACUCUUGAGUGUAUGAGCUCAAUAUCAUUUUCAUGAUUUGGAGAAGCAAAAUUGGAAAAAAGCAGUUAACAAAAAAAAUCAUUAAAAUACACACACAUAGAUUGAAGGAUUUCUUACAUUAUUAAAGUUAUAAAUAAGUUAAAAGACAAUAAAAAUGCAAACUUUAAUAUAGUACAUGACAAAAUACACUGCACUGCAAUAUGUGUUUUGCUUGUAUUUUAUUUUGUUUCUUAUUUCAACAACUGAAAAAAUCUCUUAUUAGAUAAAGAUUAUACAUACAUACAUACAUACAUACAUAUAUAUAUACAUACAUACUGAUGGUUGUCGAAGCCAACAAAAAUAAAUUCCUACUCUAAAUAAAUUGUGUAUAGUGAUUGAGCAGGGUUGUGUCCACAGAGAUCGGUAAUUAUUUAAAUCAUUUUGAAACGUAAAACGUAAAAUGGGGGAAUUGUUGACAAUAAUAAAAAUCAAAUUAAAAUAACAAGAAUGCAAAUUAAAGUUGUAAUUCAAAUUGGAGAAAGCUCUGGUUGAAGGAAUUAACUCAGCUUGAUUCGACUACUGAUCAUUGAUUCAAAUAUAAAUUAUUAUUACUUAUAAAUAGACCGGUUAUAGCUACUGAGACCUUCUAAUAGCCAAUCUCUCCUUAAUUAGUCGAUAACCAAGGUACGACUGUUGGAUAUUUCCCUAAUCAAUAGACAACCCUAGAUACGAUCAUAGGAUUUAAUCAAUUGAUAGCCUGAAAAACCAGAGAGACCCAAAUCCUAAUCAACACAUAUGAUGAUUCAUUUAAAUUAGAUUGUUUAUUCUCAUAACACAACUCACUGCUAUGUUAUUUGUCACAAACAUUAAAAUCUUCAUACGAUGAAUCCUUUAAUUGACAAUAGAUUAAGUUGAUAAUUAAAUAGUGGCCAAUUACCUAAUUAACAAACAUAAUCAUGAAACUAAUUCAGAGAAUAAAUAAAUACCCAAAAAGUAAUAAAACAAUUAAAGCAUAAGAAAGAUCUCACAGUAGUGAUGAAUCAAAGCUUCAUUAACCUUCAACCAGAAAAAUAAGUUUAGUUCUUCAUAGAGAGAAGAGAAAAAUUAGAUCUAGGGUUUCUUUCUUUUUCUCCACUAAAGUCCCAUUUUUCACAAUAGAUUCCUCUCUUAAAUACUCUCUCUCUCUUCUCCUCUAGAAUUCUAUUUAAAAUAAAAUACUAAUAUCUAAAAUAUUAAAUUCGUAAUUACAAAAAUAACCAAAAAUACAAAACACGUUAAACUAAAAACUGUAGGUCCGUAGUUGACAGCACGCGCCCACGCCUUAUCAACAAAGUUCUUCUGACGCUCAUAAUUUCUCCAAGAGAACAAUCAUCUUUAAACAUCAUCUUAUAGCUCAAUUUUAUCACAAAUCAAUAGAAUUGCACCUACAAAAGUAAAACACAAGUAAAUCAUCAUUAUUAAGUGCAAAACAUCGAUAUUAAGGGAAGUAAAUAAUGCAAAACUAGUGCAUAAAUUGCACUCUAACACAUACAUACAUACAUACAUACAUACAUACAUACAUACAUACAUACAUACAUAUAUGUAUAUAUCACAAAAAUGUUGAAUAGGAGCACACCCAAAGAAUAUGGUGAUGAAGCAAGGGAAUUUUAAGUUAUUAAUGACUUUUCUUUUGUAUCUGUGUAUAAUUCUACUGUUGCCCCCACUCCAAUGGUUAAACAUAUAUUUUAUUUUAUAAUCCUUUUGAGUUCUUAGUAUAACUUAGUUAUUAGAAUGCCACCGACAUUCGUUCCUUGUUGGAGAAUUUACAAAUAAAACACACAAAACACACAAUUUUAUUUCUUCAACAACACUCCUCACCAAUUACAACUCUUAUUUUUCACUCUCUACACCUUAGAGAUUUUGUUACUUUACUUGAUGCUUAAACCAAAGGGGAGAGGGGGUAUUUAUACAUGAUACAAACUAAUCACAACCAUUCAUUUAUUCAACUACUACAUAAAUCCUCACAAUUCAUUAAAACCUACCACUCACCUACUUCACCAACUACACCUACCACACCUAACACAAAUAAUUCAAACCUCACCAACCAUACCUACUCAUGGAAUCUUCCAUGAGUUGGGCUUGAAUUUAUUCAUCUUAGAUCAAGUUUAUGAUCCAACACCCCCCUUAAACUUGAUCCUGUGACACCAAGCAAAUUUAUGAAUUUUAUGAAGUCUUCUUGCUUGAGUGGCUCAGUGAAGAUAUCAACUGCUUGAUCUUGUGAUUCUAUAUACUUGAUUUGUACUUCUUUUCUUGCAAUACACUCUCUUAUGAAAUGAUAGCGAGUGUCUAUGUGUUUGCUUCGAUCAUGAAAGACUGGAUUCUUGGAUAGGGCAAUUGCUGAUUUGUUAUCAACACAAAUCUCGGUUGGCUCUUCUUGUGGCAAACCUAACUCCUUCAGCAAAUUUCUGAGCGAAAUUGCAUGACAAACACUUGAUAUGGCAGCUACAUACUCAGCUUCACAAGUGGAUAGCGUGACAAUUGGUUGCUUCUUUGACAUCCAUGUGAAAGCAAUAUCUCCCAUGAAGACCACAAAUCAUAUGGUGCUCUUUCGAUCAUCUACAUCUCCACCCCAAUCGCUAUCGCUAUAUCCAACAGGCUUGUAGUCAUUAGAAAAUGAGUAUAACAAGCCGAAAUUAGUUGUACCUUUGAUGUAGCGAAUGAUUCUUUUUGCAGCUUUAAAAUGGGUGGUCUUUAGAUUCUCCAUGUAUCGGCUAACAAGUCCAACAACAUAAAGGAUAUAUGAUCUUGUGCAUGUCAAAUAACGUAGGCUUCCGACCAAACUUUUAAAGAAUGUUGGAUCUAUAUCUUCGCCUUCAUUAUGUUUGGAUAAUUUAACUCCGCAUUCCACUGGCGUGCUUAUAGGCUUACAAUCAUUCAUCUUGAACUUCUUGAGAAUCUCCUUUGCAUAACUUUCUUGGGAGAUAAAUAUGUCUUCUUCCUUUUGCUUGACUUCAAUGCCAAGAUAAUAUGCCAUCAGUCCAAUGUCAGUCAUCUCGAACUCUUUGAUCAUCACUCUCUUGAACUCUUUAAAUAAGCUUGGAUCACUUCCAGUGAAGAUGAGAUCAUCCACAUACAAGCACACAAUCAAAAUGUCUCCAGCUUUUUCUUUGACGUAAAGAGCAUGUUCAUAUGGGCAUUUGGUGAAGCCGUUCUCUUGAAAAUACUUGUCAAUUCUACUAUUCCAUGCCAUUGGUGCUUGCUUUAACCCAUAAAGAGCUUUCUUCAAUCUCAAAAUUUUGUCUUCAUGUCUUUUCACCACAUAGCCUAAUGAUUGUUCGAUAUAAACUUCUUCUUCAAGGAAUCCAUUCAAGAAAGCACACUUCACAUCCAUUUGAAAAAUCUUCCAUUUGUUCUGAGCAGCUAAAGAAAUAAUAAGUCUAAUAGUUUCAAGUCGAGCUACAAGAGCAAAUACCUCGUCAUAGUCUGUGCCAGCCUUUUGACUAUAGCCUUUUGCAACUAUCCUUGCCUUCUGCCUUUCAAUUUCUCCCUUCGCAUUUCUUUUUGUUUUAUACACCCAUUUGACAUCGAUCGCCUUGUGACCUUUGGGAAGAGUAGUAAGCUCCCAAGUAUCGUUCUUCACAAUGGCUUUGAUUUCUUCAUCCAUUGCAAUUCUCCACUUCUCAUCUAGUGCAGCUUCUUGGAAGUUGACUGUCUCACAAUCAGCAAAGAGGCAAAAGAGAGUGAGAUUAUCACGUCUUUCAAUUACCUUAUAAAGAUCUUGAAGACUCAUUGUACGUUCUUCGGUUAUUUCAUUUAAGAAAGAUGGCGGUGAAUCUCCGCAUGUGGUUGAUGCUGGUGAGAUAGGUGGAGUAGCAGGCUCUUGUUGUUCGUCUACUUAUUUUAUCUGUGUAUGAUCACCUUCUUCAAUGGGAAAGAAGUUGAAGUCAUCCACACCAGAGCCAAAAUCGCAUUCUCCUUCUUCAUCAAAAACUACAUCUCGACUUAUCACGAUCUUUCCGUUGUUUGAAUUGUAAAGCUUAUAUCUUUUGGAGUUGUUGUCGUAGCCAAUGAAGAUGAACUUCUCACUUUUUUCAUCCAGCUUUGCUCUACUUUCGUCUAGUACAUAUACAUGGGCAAUGCUUCCGAAAACUCUUAGAUGGGUGAUGCCGAGUUUUCUUCCACUCCAAGCUUCUUAUGGCGUCUUGCUCCACACGCUUCUUGUUGGAGAUCGAUUGGAUAAGUAGACUGCACAUGUAAUAGCUUCAGCCCAAAAUUCUUUAGGUAGCCUUUUACUCUUAAGCAUGUUUCUUGCCACGUCGAGGAUGGUUCUGUUCUUUUUUUCUGCAACACCAUUUUGUUGGGGGGAUCUUGGAACUGUCAAAGGGCGUCGAAUUCUAUUUGCUUCACAAAACUUUAAAAAUUCUUUGGAAGUGAACUUUCCACCUCGAUCAGAUCUCAUUGCUUUAAUCUGGUAUCCACUUUCUUUUUCCACUACAGCUUUAAACUUCUUGAAAGCUUCAAAGACUUCUAAUUUUUGCUUCAAAAAGUACACCCAAGUUUUUCUUAAAAAAUCAUCUAUGAAGAGAAGGAAGUAGUUACUUUUACCAAAGGAGUUUGGCUUGAAUGGACCGCAUACAUCAGUAUGAAUGAGCUCGAGUGGCUUCUGAGCUCUUGAGUUUGACUCCUUUGGAAAACUCUUUCUGAACUACUUGCCAUGUAAACAUCCUUCACAAAUUUGAUCAGAGUGAUUGAUGUAUGGUAAACCUUUCACCAUGUUCUUCUUAGAUAGUAGCUCUAGUCCUCCAAAGUUGAGAUGCCCAUAUCGAAGAAGCCAAGUCCAGGAUAGAUUUUUAUGACAGCCUUUGAGACAUUUUGCAACAUCAUUUUGAAUAUUUAAAGGAAACAUUCUAUUCUUUGACAUUCUCACACUUGUAAUUAGAUUUCCUUUGUCAUCUCUUAGGAAAAGACUAUAAUAUUUUAAGUGAAUAUCAUAACCUUUUUUUAAAAGUUGACCCAAACUAAGAAUGUUGCUUUUCAUAUUGGGCACAUAGUAAAUAUUCGAAAUUAUUUUGUGACUACCAUCUUUUGCACGAAAAAGAAUGUUACCUCUACCCUCCACUGGUACUUUUGAAUCAUCUUCAAAAGCAAUACCGCCAUUCACAUAUUCACUUAGUUGCACGAACAUACUUUUGUUUCUACUCAUAUGAUUGCUAGCACCUGUGUCAAGAUACCAUGUAUUUUCUUGACCUCCAUUUGUGUCAUUGUGUGCUAGUAAAAGUGUGCCAUCUUCACCAUUUUUCUCUUCAGCAUAGUUCACUCUCUCCUCAAUUCUGGUGCUUGGAGCUCUGCAUUCUGAAGCAUAAUGCCCAAACUUUUGACAAUUAUAGCACUGUACUUGGGAUUUGUCAUACUUCGAUCUUGGAUUGCCUCUGCCUCGUCCUCUGGUUGAGCUUUCUCCUUUGGCAUUAUUAAUUUAUUCAUUAUUAAUUUUUGUAUGAGAUUAAUUAUUAGUUUAUAUUUUCAUAGGGUCCUAAAGGAUUCAAAAAGUCAGUAUUGUCUUACGCAUUUAACAAAGCUAUUUAGUUGCUACACUGGCUCAAUUUGGAACUUGAGGACUUAAUUAUUUAAUCAAGAUUAUUAACUUAUCGGAUAGUUAUUUAUCAAUAUUUUAUUUGUGUUGUUACGUUAAUAAAAAAAGAAAUUAUAAAAAAGAAAAAUAAACUAAUUUAAUGAUAUUCGCUGAUGCACACUCUUGAGUGUAUGAGCUCAACAUCCUUUUCAUGAUUUGGAGAAGCACAAUUGGAAAAAAGCAGUUAACCAAAAAAAUCAUUGAAAUACACACACAUAGAUUGAAGGAUUGCUUAUGUUAUUAAAGUUAGAAAUAAGUUAAAAGACAAUAAAAAUACAAACUUUAAUAUAGUACAUGACAAAAUACACUGCACUGCAAUAUGUGUGUUUCUUGUAUUUUAUUUUGUUCCUUAUUUCAACAACUUAAAAGAUCCCUUAUUAGAUAAAGAUGAUAUAUAUCACGAAAAUGUUGAAUAGGAACACGCCCAAAGAAUAUGGUGACGAAGCAAGGGAAUUUUAAGUGAUUAAUGACUUUUUUUUCUUUAUGUAUUUAGUUCUACUGUUGCCCCCACUCCAACGGUUAAACAUAUCUUUUAUUUUGUAAUCCUUUUGAGUUUUUAGGGUAACUUAGUUAUUAGAAUGCCACUGGCAUUCGUUCCGAGCAAAGAGCAAGCUCUCCAUCAGAUUCGUAUUGUUAAAUUAGUUACAGCUUUCCUUGUUUGUAGACAAAGCUAAUUCGGAAUUGUCUUUAGUUUCAUGGUUUAACUUGUAUCCAUUUACUUCAUAUUCGCCUCGAGUUCACUCAUGGAAAUAUAACCAUCCCUAAAUCUCUCACGUCAAUCCCAUGAUCCUCUUAUCCUUUCCCAUUCUUCUUUAAUCACGGUGCGCGGGGAAGUGGAAAUAAAAAAACUCAAUUUGUACCCCUCUAAGUUGUGGGUUAUAAUGCUCAAUUUGAAAAACAAAUAAAGGAAAAACACACAUACUCACAAAUGUAAUAAUAUGGAGAUUGGUUUUCCAUUUUUAUAAGCCAUAACAUAUUUAUGAUUUUUAUUAUAUUUUCUUGCAAUUAUGCCUUCAUUAAUUCGAAUUGUAUAUUAUGCUAUAAUAUUCUUGAUGUAUCUUGGAAUUAAGCAUUCCUUCAUGCUGACCUUAUUAGUAUUGUGGCUUCUGCAAGACUUGGGCCCUCCGUCCAAAUGAGUAGAUUAAUGAUCCUAUUUUUCGUUCUUAUUUAUUUAUUUGUGAACAAAUAAAACUAUCGAAAUCAAGUAAUACACAAGUUUCCACCACGCGGCGUGAUUUAAGCUCAUAACUCUUUUGUAACAUGUCUGAUGAACGAGCUGUCAUAGAUAGCGCCAUAAGGCCACGGCGUCGCCAAGCGGCAAUCUCCUAGCUAGCAAAGUAGCAAUAAUCACGGUGAUUAACUGAUGGUAAUUAGCUAAUUUGAUUGAAAGUCGUGAAGUAUGGGGCACGAACGAUCGACCAACGCAAUGCAUACGUCUUGGAUGCAUUAGGGACACUAAACGUGAUCCAUAUAUAUGCUAGCCAGUACUAUAUAUAGAGCAACAAUGUGUGCCUCGAGUAUUCACAAAUUACUAACAAAUUAGUAAUAUACCCAAAAAGGGAGGGGAAAAAAAAACAACCAUGGUUUUAAAAUUUGAGAAAAGCUUUAUCAUUCCCAUGUUUGUGAUCAUCAUUUUGGUGAUCACUUGUGCAUCACAAGUGGUGUCCGGCCGGUCGAUGCAUGAACCGUCCAUCGUUGAGAAACACGAACAAUGGAUGGCUCAGCAUGGACGCACUUACAAGGACGAGCUAGAGAAGGCAAUGCGUCUUAAUAUAUUCAAGCAAAACCUUGAAUACAUUGAGAAAGCCAACAAGGAGGGGAAUCGGACGUACAAGUUGGGCACCAAUGAAUUUUCAGACUUAACUAACGAGGAGUUUCGUGCUUCAUAUACAGGAUACAACAGGCCAGUACCAAGCGUAAGCCGCCAGUCAUCACGGCCAUCCACCUUCAAGUACCAAAACGUGACUGAUGUUCCGACUAGCAUCGACUGGAGGGAGAAAGGAGCUGUCACUCAUAUAAAGGAUCAAGGCCAAUGUGG